GAAGCAGAAAGAGGCAGCACUAACCCUCCUACAGCACUGCAGGUGUAUCUUCUCUGCAUUGUCUCAGAAAGGAAGAGGCCUUGCAGUCAUUGAUGGCAUCUGAUUACAUCUAGAAAACCACAUGCUCAAGGGGCUAUAUUGCAACUAUGGCUCUCAGGGAGAGUGAAAAUUUUCUGAAUGAUAUGACCUGGAACACAGAAGAACAAAUACCAUACAAAUUCACUCAGAAGAUAAAAGGCAACAGUCUUGAUUCUGAAUGUGAUCUAUGAUGGCUUCAAAGCAAAAGAAUAAGUGCAAGACUGUUAUUCCCCUCCUACCCUCAUGUCUUCUUGAGGAAGAUUGGAACUGUCAGCCUU
rnacentral:lncRNA from 1 species